GCAUUGGUGUUGUAGUACUAGCACGCAUCCCCGGUAUGGAUGAAACGCGGGUUCGACCCCCGUCUGAGGCC